rnacentral:lncRNA from 1 species
AAAUAUGAAGAGGCUUAAAAACAGGCUUGUGGCCAAACCCCACCCCCUCCUCCUCUUCUUCCAGGGCCUAUCUCCACCCAAUCCCUUGCAGAGGGGCAGCCACUCCAGCACCCUGCUGGAGGCAGGAGUGUUGCCACUGUGGGGUGACUAGCCAGCCAGCAACCCCCCACCAAGAUGGCAGCUCAGGGAGACAGCAGGGCCUUUGUCUGGUCCUGACCCUGCCGAGGGGCCCACCGGCCUGAGUUUGCUCAAUGUUAAUAAUUGACCAGGUGCCCAGGGACAGGGCCCCUCCGGCCACCUGGAUGAAGGGCACUUGGGGCUGGGGCCUUGGCCUCCCACAGCAUCAGGGAAGGAGACCAGGUGCGCUGGCCCCUGCGUGUCAGGACAGGAAGGCCUGCACGAGGCUGCCGUGGCUCCAGCCUGGCGAGGCAUCUGCGAGAAAGAGUGAGCACUGUCCCCUGGGAGCCGUACACGGCAGAGAGGUGACUCGCGUCACAGAGCGCACGAGGUGACCGGAGAUGGUGAUGCCGGCUGCUUCCCAGGCUGGGGCAUUGGAGCCCAGUGUGUGGGCCGGCCCUGCCUCCCACCUGCUGUGUGGCCUUGGACUGUGGCUUAACACCUCUGGACCUCAAGAGUCUCACCUCUCCUCACAGAGGGGUUUCGAGGGUUGAAUGAGAUCUUGUAUGUAGAGCGCGGAGGAAAUAAAAUGACUUAAGUUCCAAUGGACUGUGGCCUCCUCUGUCUUCUACUAAAGAAAGCCAUGAUUCACCUCUGGGUUGAUGGCCC